AUUGAACGCUGGCGGCAGGCCUAACACAUGCAAGUCGAGCGGAUGAAGGGAGCUUGCUCCUGGAUUCAGCGGCGGACGGGUGAGUAAUGCCUAGGAAUCUGCCUGGUAGUGGGGGAUAACGUCCGGAAACGGGCGCUAAUACCGCAUACGUCCUGAGGGAGAAAGUGGGGGAUCUCGGACCCCCCGCCAUCCAAUUAACCUAGGUCGGAUUAGCUAGUUGGUGGGGUAAAGGCCUACCAAGGCGACGAUCCGUAACUGGUCUGAGAGGAUGAUCAGUCACACUGGAACUGAGACACGGUCCAGACUCCUACGGGAGGCAGCAGUGGGGAAUAUUGGACAAUGGGCGAAAGCCUGAUCCAGCCAUGCCGCGUGUGUGAAGAAGGUCUUCGGAUUGUAAAGCACUUUAAGUUGGGAGGAAGGGCAGUAAGUUAAUACCUUGCUGUUUUGACGUUACCAACAGAAUAAGCACCGGCUAACUUCGUG
rnacentral:rRNA from 1 species